UGGAGAAGAGUGGCUUCUCUUUCUCUUCCCCUUCCAAAUCCUGAUUUCCUCCUAGGCACUUUUGUCUGAACCACGUGGCACAAAUUGGCAGAGAACAAGGAAAAGAAGAACAGAGGAAGGAGAAAAGGAGAAAAGUCAUUCUGCUGAAAACGAGCUGACUGAGUUGGCUUGGCUGUACAUAGGAGGAAGACCCUGAUCCCUGGUGCUCAACACAGAAAUGCUUCAAUGAUACCCUGAGAUUGUUUUACCUUGCAACACUCUCUGGAAAAUUGCUGCUCCAGGAAUGCGAUGAAAAGAUCUGUAAGAGAGCACAGCCCCUGUUGAUUGACUUGUCUUGAUCAAACCAGAGCUUCUGGCUGGGAUACUGGUAUCUUGAGUGAGUCACAGCAGGAGAUACGUGCUGGAGCUGAAGAGGUUGGAGAGGCAGCAGAAAAGGUAGGAGACAGCAAGAGAAGGAGAGCAGCCUACAGAUGAGAAGACAAGUAAUUUACCCUAAAGUUCUAGGACUGCUGUUGGUCAAAGGAAAAAUCCUUCUGAGAGAUUUUGAUUUUAGGUUUUGAUUCUACUUCUGUUUCUAUGAAUGCUAGAGAGAAGAAGAAGCCUAUGAAGUAUACAUUUUCAUAGUAUUUUAUAGAUAAGAAUCAGUGUAUUUAAGCUAUUAACUGAGUCACCUAAUUAGUUAAUGAAAGAGUUGGGAUUACAACCCAAGUGUGUUUGAUCUCAGGGACCACACUUUCUAAUUCACAAAUAAUCUUUCCCUAGUAGAAUCCAUACCAGUGUUUUCCAAACUUGUUUUUUCUGUGAGAUUAACAAAAGUAAAUUUAGAGUAUAAUCUGCAAUAAAAGUCGUUGUUGGUGGUGAAUUAGAGGCAAGAGUCAGAAAGACCAUGUAAUUGAAUAUGUGAAGCAACAGGGGUUUUCGCUAAUGGGCUGUGUUCCUGAAAAGGUAAGGAAAGAGAAAAUAAUGAGGACAAAGAAAUGAAUAAGGCAAGGAAAAGACAAUAAUAGAAGCUGAAACGAAGUGAAAGGAAAAACAGACCAUUUGCUAUAUUUCGCUUUAUUACCACCACCAUUCUUAGACAUCAGAAGAUUUAAAAAAAAUCACGGCAGUAACUUCUUGAAGUAAUAUUGAUAAAACUUGCUUCCAAAUAUUUAUAUUUUUUGUAACUAAAAGCAUAAUCAGAAUUCAGUGAUCCCUUUUUAAUGCCACAAGUAGUGCAAUGUUAACAAGCUAGACUGCAUGAUAUCCUGUUUAAGUGUGUGUCUGUGCGUGAGUGGGGCAGGGAGGGGGUCUUUG
rnacentral:lncRNA from 1 species